AUGAGCCUGGAUGUAUACGAUACUGUACGAGAUUCUCCCUUCCAUCGUACGACUCUUAGGAAGUCGUAUGAGUCAACCAUGAGGGUUGACUGUGGCUGUGUGAUUGAAUGGUUGUUCGCUGUUGAUCCUGUUGAAGUUCAAGCUUCUGCUGCCUCUUUGUUGUUCAUCUAUUGGAUUAGCAACAUUGCUCUGGUGAAAUGA